rnacentral:rRNA from 1 species
AAAACUUUCAACAACGGAUCUCUUGGUUCUGGCAUCGAUGAAGAACGCAGCAAAAUGCGAUAAGUAAUGUGAAUUGCAGAAUUCAGUGAAUCAUCGAAUCUUUGAACGCACAUUGCGCCCGCCAGUAUUCUGGCGGGCAUGCCUGUUCGAGCGUCAUUUCAACCCUCAAGCACAGCUUGGUGUUGGGACUCGCGUUAAUUCGCGUUCCCCAAAUUGAUUGGCGGUCACGUCGAGCUUCCAUAGCGUAGUAGUAAAACCCUCGUUACUGGUAAUCGUCGCGGCCACGCCGUUAAACCCCAACUUCUGAAUGUUGACCUCGGAUCAGGUAGGAAUACCCGCUGAACUUAAGCAUAUCAAUAAGCGGAGGAAAAGAAACCAACAGGGAUUGCCCCAGUAACGGCGAGUGAAGCGGCAACAGCUCAAAUUUGAAAUCUGGCUCUCGGGCCCGAGUUGUAAUUUGUAGAGGAUGCUUUUGGUGAGGUGCCUUCCGAGUUCCCUGGAACGGGACGCCAUAGAGGGUGAGAGCCCCGUCUGGUUGGACACCGAUCCUCUGUAAAGCUCCUUCGACGAGUCGAGUAGUUUGGGAAUGCUGCUCUAAAUGGGAGGUAUAUGUCUUCUAAAGCUAAAUACCGGCCAGAGACCGAUAGCGCACAAGUAGAGUGAUCGAAAGAUGAAAAGAACUUUGAAAAGAGAGUUAAAAAGUACGUGAAAUUGUUGAAAGGGAAGCGCUUGUGACCAGACUUGGGCUUGGUUGAUCAUCCGGGGUUCUCCCCGGUGCACUCUUCCGGCUCAGGCCAGCAUCAGUUUUCCCCGGGGGAUAAAGGCGGCGGGAAUGUGGCUCUCUUCGGGGAGUGUUAUAGCCCACCGUGUAAUACCCUGGGGGGGACUGAGGUUCGCGCAUCUGCAAGGAUGCUGGCGUAAUGGUCAUCAACGACCCGUCUUGAAACACGGACC